rnacentral:rRNA from 1 species
GACGAACGCUGGCGGCGUGCUUAACACAUGCAAGUCGAGCGAGAAAAUUCCCUUCGGGGAUGAUUCUAGCGGCGGACGGGUGAGUAACACGUGGGUAACCUGCCUUAUAGGGGGGAAUAGCCUUCCAAAAGGAAAAUUAAUACCGCAUAAAAUUGUACCUUCGCAUGAAGUACCAAUUAAAGGAGCAAUUCGCUAUAAAAUGGACCCGCGUCGCAUUAGCCAGUUGGCAGGGUAACGGCCUACCAAAGCGACAAUCAGUAGCCGACCUGAGAGGGUGAUCGGCCACUUUGGGACUGAAACACGGCCCAAACUCCUACGGGAGGCAGCAUUAGGGAAUCUUCGGCAAUGGACAAAAGUCUGACCGAGCAACGCCGCGUGAGUGAAAAAUUAUUUCGGUAUGUAAAGCUCUAUCAGCAGGGAAAAAAAUGACGGUACCUGACUAAAAAGCACCGGCUAAAUACGUG